GAAGCAGGAGCUUGCUCUUGUGGAUCAGUGGCGAACGGGUGAGUAACACGUGAGCAACCUGCCCCGAACUCUGGGAUAAGCGCUGGAAACGGCGUCUAAUACCGGAUACGCACCAGAGCGGCAUCGUUACUGGUGGGAAAGAUUUAUUGGUUCGGGAUGGGCUCGCGGCCUAUCAGCUUGUUGGUGAGGUAACGGCUCACCAAGGCGUCGACGGGUAGCCGGCCUGAGAGGGUGACCGGCCACACUGGGACUGAGACACGGCCCAGACUCCUACGGGAGGCAGCAGUGGGGAAUAUUGCACAAUGGGCGCAAGCCUGAUGCAGCAACGCCGCGUGAGGGAUGACGGCCUUCGGGUUGUAAACCUCUUUUAGCAGGGAAGAAGCGAAAGUGACGGUACCUGCAGAAAAAGCGCCGGCUAACUACGUGCCAGCAGCCGCGGUAAUACGUAGGGCGCAAGCGUUAUCCGGAAUUAUUGGGCGUAAAGAGCUCGUAGGCGGUCUGUCGCGUCUGCUGUGAAAACCCGAGGCUCAACCUCGGGCCUGCAGUGGGUACGGGCAGACUAGAGUGCGGUAGGGGAGAUUGGAAUUCCUGGUGUAGCGGUGGAAUGCGCAGAUAUCAGGAGGAACACCGAUGGCGAAGGCAGAUCUCUGGGCCGUAACUGACGCUGAGGAGCGAAAGGGUGGGGAGCAAACAGGCUUAGAUACCCUGGUAGUCCACCCCGUAAACGUUGGGAACUAGUUGUGGGGGCCUUUCCACGGUCUCCGUGACGCAGCUAACGCAUUAAGUUCCCCGCCUGGGGGAGUACGGCCGCAAGG
rnacentral:rRNA from 1 species